rnacentral:tRNA from 1 species
CCUGGUGGCUCAGAGGUUAAAGCAUCUGCUUGGAAUGCAGAAGACUGGGGUUCGAUCCCUGGGUCAGGA